AUACAGAAGGAAAGCAAUAUUGAAGAGAGUGCCAAGAGUUUUGCACAGAGGCAGAGAGCCUUGAGGCUUUUUUGAUUAUCUGACGAAUGAUUUAUUUAUUUUACAAGUUUCAGGUAUCGAGGAUGAACUUGGAUUGCUAGUAGCGGGCUUAGGUGGAAGAGUUGGUGUUGAGGAUUUUUAUUUAAUUAUUUAGAGAUUUUUGUAUAUUUAAUUGAGAAACUUGAUUGUUGUAUCAAUAAAGGAUAUUUUAUUUCUUUUGA